UUAAGCGACUAAGCGUACACGGUGGAUGCCCUGGCAGUCAGAGGCGAUGAAGGACGUGCUAAUCUGCGAUAAGCGUCGGUAAGGUGAUAUGAACCGUUAUAACCGGCGAUUUCCGAAUGGGGAAACCCAGUGUGUUUCGACACACUAUCAUUAACUGAAUCCAUAGGUUAAUGAGGCGAACCGGGGGAACUGAAACAUCUAAGUACCCCGAGGAAAAGAAAUCAACCGAGAUUCCCCCAGUAGCGGCGAGCGAACGGGGAGCAGCCCAGAGCCUGAAUCAGUGUGUGUGUUAGUGGAAGCGUCUGGAAAGGCGCGCGAUACAGGGUGACAGCCCCGUACACAAAAAUGCACAUGCUGUGAGCUCGAUGAGUAGGGCGGGACACGUGGUAUCCUGUCUGAAUAUGGGGGGACCAUCCUCCAAGGCUAAAUACUCCUGACUGACCGAUAGUGAACCAGUACCGUGAGGGAAAGGCGAAAAGAACCCCGGCGAGGGGAGUGAAAAAGAACCUGAAACCGUGUACGUACAAGCAGUGGGAGCACGCUUAGGCGUGUGACUGCGUACCUUUUGUAUAAUGGGUCAGCGACUUAUAUUCUGUAGCAAGGUUAACCGAAUAGGGGAGCCGAAGGGAAACCGAGUCUUAACUGGGCGUUAAGUUGCAGGGUAUAGACCCGAAACCCGGUGAUCUAGCCAUGGGCAGGUUGAAGGUUGGGUAACACUAACUGGAGGACCGAACCGACUAAUGUUGAAAAAUUAGCGGAUGACUUGUGGCUGGGGGUGAAAGGCCAAUCAAACCGGGAGAUAGCUGGUUCUCCCCGAAAGCUAUUUAGGUAGCGCCUCGUGAAUUCAUCUCCGGGGGUAGAGCACUGUUUCGGCAAGGGGGUCAUCCCGACUUACCAACCCGAUGCAAACUGCGAAUACCGGAGAAUGUUAUCACGGGAGACACACGGCGGGUGCUAACGUCCGUCGUGAAGAGGGAAACAACCCAGACCGCCAGCUAAGGUCCCAAAGUCAUGGUUAAGUGGGAAACGAUGUGGGAAGGCCCAGACAGCCAGGAUGUUGGCUUAGAAGCAGCCAUCAUUUAAAGAAAGCGUAAUAGCUCACUGGUCGAGUCGGCCUGCGCGGAAGAUGUAACGGGGCUAAACCAUGCACCGAAGCUGCGGCAGCGACGCUGAUGCGUUGUUGGGUAGGGGAGCGUUCUGUAAGCCUGCGAAGGUGUGCUGUGAGGCAUGCUGGAGGUAUCAGAAGUGCGAAUGCUGACAUAAGUAACGAUAAAGCGGGUGAAAAGCCCGCUCGCCGGAAGACCAAGGGUUCCUGUCCAACGUUAAUCGGGGCAGGGUGAGUCGACCCCUAAGGCGAGGCCGAAAGGCGUAGUCGAUGGGAAACAGGUUAAUAUUCCUGUACUUGGUGUUACUGCGAAGGGGGGACGGAGAAGGCUAUGUUGGCCGGGCGACGGUUGUCCCGGUUUAAGCGUGUAGGCUGGUUUUCCAGGCAAAUCCGGAAAAUCAAGGCUGAGGCGUGAUGACGAGGCACUACGGUGCUGAAGCAACAAAUGCCCUGCUUCCAGGAAAAGCCUCUAAGCAUCAGGUAACAUCAAAUCGUACCCCAAACCGACACAGGUGGUCAGGUAGAGAAUACCAAGGCGCUUGAGAGAACUCGGGUGAAGGAACUAGGCAAAAUGGUGCCGUAACUUCGGGAGAAGGCACGCUGAUAUGUAGGUGAAGUCCCUUGCGGAUGGAGCUGAAAUCAGUCGAAGAUACCAGCUGGCUGCAACUGUUUAUUAAAAACACAGCACUGUGCAAACACGAAAGUGGACGUAUACGGUGUGACGCCUGCCCGGUGCCGGAAGGUUAAUUGAUGGGGUUAGCGCAAGCGAAGCUCUUGAUCGAAGCCCCGGUAAACGGCGGCCGUAACUAUAACGGUCCUAAGGUAGCGAAAUUCCUUGUCGGGUAAGUUCCGACCUGCACGAAUGGCGUAAUGAUGGCCAGGCUGUCUCCACCCGAGACUCAGUGAAAUUGAACUCGCUGUGAAGAUGCAGUGUACCCGCGGCAAGACGGAAAGACCCCGUGAACCUUUACUAUAGCUUGACACUGAACAUUGAGCCUUGAUGUGUAGGAUAGGUGGGAGGCUUUGAAGUGUGGACGCCAGUCUGCAUGGAGCCGACCUUGAAAUACCACCCUUUAAUGUUUGAUGUUCUAACGUGGACCCGUGAUCCGGGUUGCGGACAGUGUCUGGUGGGUAGUUUGACUGGGGCGGUCUCCUCCUAAAGAGUAACGGAGGAGCACGAAGGUUGGCUAAUCCUGGUCGGACAUCAGGAGGUUAGUGCAAUGGCAUAAGCCAGCUUGACUGCGAGCGUGACGGCGCGAGCAGGUGCGAAAGCAGGUCAUAGUGAUCCGGUGGUUCUGAAUGGAAGGGCCAUCGCUCAACGGAUAAAAGGUACUCCGGGGAUAACAGGCUGAUACCGCCCAAGAGUUCAUAUCGACGGCGGUGUUUGGCACCUCGAUGUCGGCUCAUCACAUCCUGGGGCUGAAGUAGGUCCCAAGGGUAUGGCUGUUCGCCAUUUAAAGUGGUACGCGAGCUGGGUUUAGAACGUCGUGAGACAGUUCGGUCCCUAUCUGCCGUGGGCGCUGGAGAACUGAGGGGGGCUGCUCCUAGUACGAGAGGACCGGAGUGGACGCAUCACUGGUGUUCGGGUUGUCAUGCCAAUGGCACUGCCCGGUAGCUAAAUGCGGAAGAGAUAAGUGCUGAAAGCAUCUAAGCACGAAACUUGCCCCGAGAUGAGUUCUCCCUGACCCUUUAAGGGUCCUGAAGGAACGUUGAAGACGACGACGUUGAUAGGCCGGGUGUGUAAGCGCAGCGAUGCGUUGAGCUAACCGGUACUAAUGAACCGUGAGGCUUAACCUU
rnacentral:rRNA from 1 species